CAGAAACCAACAGUAUAUACUUCACAAUUUUUGCUCCAAGGAUCCACUUUAGACCUCAAAUACAGCUCAUUUUUUUUGGGUGUGUGUGGUUUAAAGAAAGUUUGAUGAAAGAGACUUUAAAGCAACAAAACAAAACAAACAAAAAACUAGGAUUUGCUAAUCUCUUUCCAAAUUGGGUGCUUUGGCUAAGAAAUCAAAUACCUUACAGUAAAUUGUGGUUCAUUAUGGGACACUUUAUAGAGUUGUACUGAUAAUUACAUGUGAGUAAGCACCUAAAUACUACUGUCAAACUUAAUAGGUAAUUUUCAUUUACUUUCCAUGCUAUUUAAUGUUUAUACUAUCUUUGUAAUUCAUAUAAUCUGAUUUUAAAAAAGUAAUUUAACAUCUUCCAACAUAAAUGUCUAAAUUUAAAUUUAUUUUAUAUAUUACAUUUUAUAGAGUCUGCAUUAAUGAUAAUGAAAAAAUAUAAAAUAAAAUGAAAGUAAAUCAAACAUAAUUUUUAGUGGUGAGAGAUCACUGUUAUUCAUUUGUUGAUGUAUUUGAUAUGAAUUUUACAUCUAGUUACAUGGCUGGGAUAAUGUAUGGAUGCUAAAUUUACUUCUAAAUUUUAUUCUUUUAAAUUACAACAUAUUUUGUUCAUUUUCUCAUGUAAAUAUGUACAUACUUGUAUUCUUGUUUUAUUUUUCAUUGAUAAACUCCAAGUCCCUGAUAUAGAACCUUUAGGUAUUAGACACACAACAAUAUUUAUUUUGUGAAUGAAAUACUUAUCUUUGUUAUUCUAUUGUUUGGAUUUUCCACAGAUUAUUUAACAAAAUACACAUUUUUUUAAACAUAUGUAUGACAGUGGACCAAUUUUUAUUUCCUAAAAUUUCUGUAUUCCUAAGAGAAUAUUUGAUACAGUUGGAUUAACUGGAGUCAAAGUUUCAGAUUCAAGAACUGGAUUUUUUAUCCCAAUGACUCUUAAAUUUGGUCUCUUGAUGGGAGCUC
rnacentral:lncRNA from 1 species